GCCGGGCAUAGUGGCUCAUGCCUGUAAUCCCAGCACUUGGGAGGCUGAGGCAGGUGGAUUGCUUGAGCCCAGGAGUUUGAGACCAGCCUGGGCAACAUGGUGAAACCCUGUCUCUA
ensembl:misc_RNA Metazoa_SRP Metazoan signal recognition particle RNA